rnacentral:rRNA from 1 species
GAUGAACGUUGGCGGCGCGCUUAACACAUGCAAGUCGCACGAGAAAAGGGGCAACCCUGAGUAGAGUGGCGCACGGGUGCGUAACACGUAGGCAAUCUUCCCUCAGGAGGGGGAUAACCAUCCGAAAGGAUGGCUAAUACCGCGUAAGACCACGACUUCUUCGGAAGUUGCGGUCAAAGGGGGCCUCUCCAUGGAAGCUCUCACCUGAGGACGAGCCUGCGGCCCAUCAGCUAGUUGGCAGGGUAACGGCCUACCAAGGCUAAGACGGGUAGCUGGUCUGAGAGGAUGAUCAGCCACACUGGCACUGAAACACGGGCCAGACUCCUACGGGAGGCUG